AUGCUCGCUUAGGCAGCACAUAUACGGAAAUUGGAACAAUACAGAAAAGAUUAGCAUAGCCCCUGCACAAGGAUGACACACAAAUUCAUGAAGCAUUCCAUAUUUUU
ensembl:snRNA U6 U6 spliceosomal RNA